rnacentral:misc_RNA from 1 species
AAAUGACUAUAUAUAGUUAUAAUUCAAAAAAUUGUACAUAAAUGGCUUUAUCCCCUUUGUGAAACAAAAUAAAAGCUAGACAUACAUAGUAAAAUUUCAAAUCACACUGCCAUCUGUGAUACAGUUUCCAAAGGCAUCAAAACCAGAAAAUGAUUACACAAUUAUGAUUUCAUAGCAUAGUACAUCCAUGAUUUCUUGGGCCAGUGUCAAACAAAAAUACCCAAUACUUCACACAUCAAUGAGGAUCCGAUGAACUGAAAGUUUGCACCACAGAAGCUCACUUUUCCUU